rnacentral:rRNA from 1 species
GAGUUUGAUCGUGGCUCAGAUUGAACGCUGGCGGCAUGCCUUACACAUGCAAGUCGAACGGCAGCACGGGAGCUUGCUCCUGGUGGCGAGUGGCGAACGGGUGAGUAAUGCAUCGGAACGUAUCCUGGAGUGGGGGAUAACGUAGCGAAAGUUACGCUAAUACCGCAUAUUCUGUGAGCAGGAAAGCGGGGGACCUUCGGGCCUCGCGCUCUUGGAGCGGCCGAUGUCGGAUUAGCUAGUUGGUGAGGUAAAGGCUCACCAAGGCGACGAUCCGUAGCAGGUCUGAGAGGAUGAUCUGCCACACUGGAACUGAGACACGGUUCAGACUCCUACGGGAGGCAGCAGUGGGGAAUUUUGGACAAUGGGGGCAACCCUGAUCCAGCCAUGCCGCGUGAGUGAAGAAGGCCUCGG